CCCGUCGCCGGCCCUCCCCCUCAUCCACGGCCCACCACACAUCCUAGAAUGCUGUGGUGAUGCAGCUGGGGCAGGCAUCGAUGACGCCAUCACCGCGGCACACCACGAUGCCGUAUUAUACAGUCUUGGUCAGUUCGUGUGGAUGAGGCGCUAGUGAAUAGAGCAGUAGAUAGGAGCUCAAGGUUUGCUUUGUAGGUGCUCUUGUUCAUGUGGGUGUCUCUGUAGUAGCAGAUAUGCGUCAGUGGAUUGACGGCAGCGACGAAUGGCUCGAAGCCGAGAAUAAGCAGCAAGAGAAUGAUCAUGGCUCUGCCUAUAAUUCAGCUCUGCCCCCUCCAGCAGCUUCCUUGUUAUAAGCAUCAUUUGGAAAACUCGUCUGUCUUACGGUUUGACCGCUUACUUGUUUAGUGAUUAUCUGAUGAUAUCAGCUUGCAGGCCGUGCAAUCAAAUUUCGUGGAAUACAAUAGUGCUGCCGUCCAGGCAUCAGCCUAUGUAAUGGCUACAAGCAAUGCAAGACAAGGGGAGAGAACAAUAACAAAUCGAGUUUCAGUGUUUCCGUCAACAGAGAAGAGGUCUUCUUAUGACCUUGAGGGAGGUGCGGAGUUGAAGAUGAUUACGAUCGUUCGGUAAAGCUAAUGGACUAUUUGUUAGAAGCUUGACUCGGAAAUGUUUCUUAUGCUGAAAUGCUUCGAAAAUUCUCUUAAGCUUGUGUGAUGCUGACGUUUGUCAAGACAUUGAAAACCUGAGUUCAUGUCAGGUAUUCCGGCGGAGAGGGACCGGCAGGAGAGGGACAGUUCAUCUCGCUGCUCAUGACCUCCAUCAGAUUCUCCUCCGAGCUUGCCUGCCGAGAUGCCAGCACUGCUUGUUUGUAUAGAUGCUCAAGAAGACUGCUCAAAGGAGGACAGUUUGUAGGAUAGUUUGUGUGACAAUGCGAGCACUACCUGUUUGUAUAAAUGCUGAAGGAGAAAACUGUUCGGAGAAGGACAUGUGAGAGAGAGAGAGAGAAGGAGAAACAGGGGCCGGGAGUAAGAGGUGAAGAGCAAGGAGAACCACAUGUUGUCCCUUUGUCAUCGACACCAUCCCGCCGUUGCAGGCUUGUCCCGAUGGCCUUUCGCUUGGUGUGCUGUUACCCUGCCCUGGUUCUUUGUCUCUGCCUCUUUCAUGGUUUCUUCCUUUCGAAGAUUUAUUUUUUGUCUCCCUUCUAAAGGUAAGUUCUGCCUUAGCAUCCUUCAUGUUGUAACACAAACAAAAUAUUAGUGAUCUGACAGCAACACCAUUUUCUGUUGAGUUAUUUAAUUUAGAUGAUUGCUGCUAUACAACUUAACUGCCAAAUUCUGUAGCAUUUACUACUUGAUAAAUAAAGAACCAGGUCACACCAUUUUCUUUACUUUAUUAUUCGGAUUAUGGGUGUGUUUGGUUGAUGUCCUCGUCGUUGCGCGCCUGGCCUGAGCUGUGCCUGAAGUCUGCCUGGUGAUUGUUUGGUUGGCAUCCUGAGAAAGAAAGUACUUGCCUGGCCUGGUUGUGCCGGUAGUGUGAUUAGCCUGGCCAGUAGAAUAAAAAAUACAAAAAGGGACGUAGUCAGCCCAGGCAGCGUGAUUUGCCUGGCCCAGGCGCCCCAUCCCAUGCGCCUGGACAUGCUUCCACACCAGCCUGGUACUAAUUGGAUCAAGUAGCAGCAAAGGUUUGCUAUUUAAAAAUUCUAUAAGCACACAAGGACAGAACAGCAAGCAAGGAAACGAACCAAACGUUCACCGACCAGGCUUGCCUGGCCAGGCACAAUUUUCCUUCAUCUCAGGCAUUGUCCAGGCACCAUUUUUUCUCAGGCAAAGCGUCCAGGCCUUCAACCAAACACGCUCUAUAUGCAGGAGUUUUGGUGUGGAUUAUAGAUUCUACAGUUACUCUUAGCUUGUCAGCUUUGUUGAUCCUAAUUUACGAUGUUCACCAAGGAUUACAGACCAUGGUACCUUCAUCUGUUGUCGACAGUUUCCUCUUUCAGAUUUGAUGUUAGUUUGUACAAGCUACUGGGUUGUGCUUUAGAUGGUAUGGUUUCUCUGCUAUUUAGAAACUACACUUAACACUCAUAAAGUACAAUGAUCGGAUCCUAAACUGAAAUAUUUAUUUUGGCGGGUUUAAAAUUUGAUGUGGGAUGGGCAUACGAGUUUGAUGUUUGCAGUCCUCUCUGAGCUGCAAGUCGCUCGACAACACGACAAAUUCAGUUACAGAUUUUUACCAAAGCUAACUGAAAUAAAGUUCAGUUCAGCAGACCAUGUCUGUUGGAAGGAAGCAAAUUUCUUGCCUUAUGAAUCCUACGUAGCCAUCAUAUUUUAUUUCAGACUGAAUCGUCCCAGCUCAGUGUAUCCUUGCUAAAAUAAGAACAUCAUUUUUUAGGGGAUGCCACAAAACAAAAAAUGACCAGGACUGCAUCUCUCAUAUUUUCUUGCUUAGAUUGUUAAUCUGAAUUCGUGUUUGAUAUUGUAGUAUGGAGGUUUCACCAUGAUGCAUGUUCCGUUGUCGUUUGUUUUCCAACUGCUUUGAUAUUAAUUUACAAGAUAGUAAGUUUUAUACGUGUGGUUGGAUGUCAAUCUUUACAGUUUGAUGACUAGAUUUAUCCAAGGAAGAAAAACUGAUAUUAGUAAUUAUGUGUCAUAUAUAGAUGCAGAUCCGAGUUGCCAUAAUGGAAUAUGGAUGGACAACACAAAAUAGCCUAGUUCCUUAAUUUUGUGUUUGAUGGAAGUAUAUGGUUCAGCCUGUACUGUCCAACAUAAAUUGACACAAACCUGUGCGCGUUUGCUCUGAACGGUGUGUUGUUAUGGAACUUUGCAGCUGUUCGUAGAUCGAUUCAACCUCCAUCUGAAUGUUUUAGUUCAUCUAUGCUUUUGAAAUUUUUCUACAGAAUAGUGAGGUUAUAGUUAUUCCCAAACGCCUUGUGGAGAGUAUUCUUAAUUGUAUUCGCUGCUUCGGGUGCCUAUAUGUUAUACAUGUGUGUUAUAAGUUCAAUUAUAUAUGAAGAUGCCUAUAUGUUGUUUUUCAAUUUACUUCCACAAAACCACAAACUGGGUAUUCCUAUUUUACAGAUAUAAGUUGCAUCAUAAUAAUCUUCACAUUUUAGUUGCAUCAUAAUAAUCUUCUUCUUCUAGUCUUCUUCUUCUAACUUUCUUCUUUCCCGUUUUGUAGAUUUGUG